CCCGGAGAUAAUAGGGACAAAGGAAGAGAAAAGGAGAAGGGGGAGGAACAAAGAACAGAGGAGGGGAAAAGAAGAACAGAGGCGAGGAAUGGAGGAGAGGGGAAGAGAGAAGAAGAGAGAGCAGUGGAGUGGAGGACACAAAAGGAAGCUCUCACCAUUUUCCUUUGCAAGAGAAGAACAGAGCAAAGCUAAAGAUUAAGCAGCUUUGCAAGUGCAGCAAAAGCCUUUUCAGGAAACUGCAGUGCACAGCCUGCAUUACCAACUGGCUUGCGAAUGGGGCAGGGCGUGGGCAGAAAUCUCUUCCUCCUUGUCAAACUGCUGCUUUCCCUUUUCAGCUAGUGGAACCCAGUGGAAAAGCAGACCUGAAACGGUGCCACGGGAGAGGCCUUGGCUUACCGAGAGCUUGUACACAGCUGGGCUUUGGUAGAUAACGUUGAAGACGACGUUGUAAAAAGUGAAAGAAGGUUUAUCGUCUACCGUCCAUCUGAAAGUCACAUCCGACCCGGCCUCCAUCACAGGGAUGUAGCUCUGAAAGCUCCUGGUCAGCAUUGAGGAACCUGAAAUCCUGUUUAUUGCUGCUAGUUCAAUCAAAGUCUCCAAACAGAGAAGCGAAAGGAGGGGACAAAACUUGGAGACUCUCAGCAGGGGGGAUAACAACAACACUGUGACUAUUGUUGAGUUUCCUUUCAAGCGUUCCCAGCGCGAUGACAGAGCGGCGCAACGGUCAGCGGCUUCGUCUUCUGGGAAUCCUGCAAACUCUGCCCGUCCUCCUUCACACAGGAUUCACACCCUGAGGAUGAAAAUCCAACCCUGAGCUUUGCAUGGCUGGGGGCCCGACUCUAGGACUUUUCAUCUCAAAGAAAAUCCCUGGGACAGACAGGGCUAGGGACUCAGCUUCUUAUAAUCACCUGGGAGAGAAAGCAUUUUCACAGCUCACAACAGCAGAGCUAACCCCCAAAAUGCUCUUUGGGCCACAUGCUUUAGCCAUUCAUUCUGCAAGAGUCUGCGCGGCUGUAUGGUCAUGGAGUGGGAAGCCAUUUGAUUCUGAAGACUGAUUCAGAGCUGUCUGCCGUCCAUAGGUAUGUCUACAGUGCAAUAAAACACUCACCGCUGGUCCGUGUCAGUUAACUUGGGUUCGCGGUGCUCAGGCUGUGAAGCUAGAAAAUUACAGCACAGACACUGAGGCUCAGGCAGAAGCCUGGGCUGUGGGACUGUCCCACCAUUGCAAAGUCCUACUGCCCUGCAACGUGGGGUGUUUGCUCAACCGUGGCUGGGAUCCCUGUUCAGAGAUCCAUCAGGAUGAGGAGGUCUGGAAUGUAGCCAGGCCCUAUGCUGCUCACCUUUCUAUACCACAGUCAGGAUGGGCCGAUAAGGUGAGCUGGGCUAAGCCUUGCCUGUGCAUGGCUAGUCACCUCCACAGGGGAUGAGAACGAGUCUGAGGGUCACGUGAAUGGCAACAGUGACUGAGAACAGACCUGCUGGGAGAUAUUCAGGAGAGACUCCAGGGAGAACAGACCUAGAGCGAGUGCUCCAUUAAAGAGUAGGAAACCAGCCAGGAAAAGGACCCGUGAGAAGAUUAGGCACAGGAAGAGGUCCUGGGAAGGAAAGUCAGAGCAGUUGGAGUUAUCGAGCACAGAACGCAAUGGCUUAGGUCCCAGGGCUGGUGGUCCAUAGGAUGGGUUCUCCCUAUGCUACCGCCUUGUGAGGUACUACAGCCACCCUUGUCAAUGAGGGGAAGAAGGGACUGACUGGAGCCCAGAAGGGCUGGAAGCUGAGCCCAGGAGAAGGGCUACAGACUGUGGAGGAAGAGGACAGUUCCUGAGAAGAAGCCUGGCAAACUCUGGGGUGGAAGAUUUGGUGCCAUGUUUCUUUUGGACUGUCCUUAACUCUGGAAAGGGGGAGGGGGGAGUUGUGACUUGGCCAGCGAGCUAAGUCACCUCAGUGACCUCCCCCACUGGGAGCUAAUGGAUGACUGCCAUGAGUCACAACAGAAGCAGCACCAGGAGGGAAACUGAGGCACUGGACAGACCAGAUGAAUCCCUGCUACAAGCUGAGUCUGUUUCACCCAAGUGCUUCCACUCUAUCAGUGUAUGAUGGGACCAUUCUCCACAAAGCAGUUGGUCCAUUGAUUCUACAAGGACCUAGUCAACUGUCCUUGUGCUCCUUUCCAGCACCUAG